CUUGGUCUCAACACGCCGCGGCGGUACUUACCGCCGCCUGACGGGACAACCACCGCGGCGGUACGUACUGCCGCGGCAAAUAAUUUCCCCAAGAUCACAGCGCCACUCGGUGGCGAUGUGGGGCAAGGGCAAUACACACGACGAACAGAAGAUACCGCAUAACUAACACCUUUUACGUUGUUGAGAAGCAUUUGUACACAAUUAAGAAAUCAUUUUAUCUUUUAAAUUUGGACGAAAUAAGGUGUUAAUAGGGCUUGCAGUGCAAAACAUCACGGGCCACAAACUUCCAGCAACCAGCCCCCAGAACAAAAUUGUCCCAGCAAAGAGAAAGGUGCAUGCCAAGACAUGGCUCAGCCUCAUUCAAUUCAAAUAGGGAAGGCUCAAAUAGUUAAACAUU